rnacentral:rRNA from 1 species
AGAUUGAACGCUGGCGGCAGGCCUAACACAUGCAAGUCGAGCGGUAGAGAGGUGCUUGCAUCUCUUGAGAGCGGCGGACGGGUGAGUAGUGCCUAGGAAUCUGCCUAGUGGUGGGGGAUAACGUUCGGAAACGGACGCUAAUACCGCAUACGUCCUACGGGAGAAAGCGGGGGACCUUCGGGCCUCGCGCCAUUAGAUGAGCCUAGGUCGGAUUAGCUAGUUGGUGAGGUAACUGGCUCACCAAGGCGACGAUCCGUAACUGGUCUGAGAGGAUGAUCAGUCACACUGGAACUGAGACACGGUCCAGACUCCAGGGAGCAGCAGUGGGGAAUAUU